GACGAACGCUGGCGGCGUGCUUAACACAUGCAAGUCGAACGGGCCUUGUCCCCUUUUUUUUUGGGGGUGGGGUUAGUGGCGAACGGGUGAGUAACACGUGAGUAACCUGCCCCUCACUUCUGGAUAACCGCUUGAAAGGGUGGCUAAUACGGGGUGUUCUGGCCUGCUCGCAUGGGUGGGUUUGGAAAGAUUCGACCGGUUUUGGUUGUUUUGGUGGGGGAUGGGCUCGCGGCCUAUUAGCUUGUUGGUGGGGUGAUGGCCUGCCAAGGCUUUGACGGGUAGCCGGCCUGAGAGGGUGGGCGGUCACACUGGGACUGAGACACGGCCCAGACUCCUACGGGAGGCAGCAGUGGGGAAUAUUGCACAAUGGGCGCAAGCCUGAUGCAGCGACGCCGCGUGAGGGAUGGAGGCCUGCGGGUUGUGAACCUCUUUCGCCAGUGAAGAAGGUCCUGCUCUUUGGGGUGGGGUUGACGGUAGCUGGGUUAAUGAAGCGCCGGCUAACUACGU
rnacentral:rRNA from 1 species